GACAAGACUUCCGAGCAAGACGCUAUUAUCUUAGCAGGAUCAGAUUUCGGAAGCGGAAGCUCACAAGAUUGGGCCGUAACGAAUGUUACUGGUACAAACACAUUCAAAUAUCAUGUUUCUUUGCUUCUAACUCUUCUCAUCCAUCAACCCGAAUUCACCCUUUCUACCCCUUUGUUUAGGGAGAAAAUCCAUCGUAGUAAUCUGUCGGUAUGUGGAUCAUCCCAUUUCAUUCCAAGCCUGGAGAGGAUGCAGAUACACUAGGAUUAACAGGUCUCGAGUGCUAUACGAUUCACCUUCCAAGUAAAGUCCGCUAGAUAAGGCCUUGCCAAGAUGUUACCAUCACAGCUGACAUCAGAAAAUCCUACACACGAUCAAUACAAAGGUGGAAUUGGCUUACUUCAAUCAUGAUGGCAUACUUCCAUUUGUAAUUAGAAACCUUAACAAGAAGUUAGACAAUUUGGCUUCAAAUCAGUAACCUCUCCACUUCGAAAUCGACAUCGAAUGACCUCUUUACAGGUUAUAGGGGAGAUUUCUGCAUACAAUCACUAGCAGAGAAGAAACUUCUCAAGGUUCUUAAAUAAGAGCAGAAAAUCUGCUGCUUGUUA